UGGGGAACUUUGGACAAUGGGCGCAAGCCUGAUCCAGCAAUGCCGCGUGCAGGAUGAAGGCCUUCGGGUUGUAAACUGCUUUUGUACGGAGCGAAAAGGUCUGCCCUAAUACGGUGGGCUCAUGACGGUACCGUAAGAAUAAGCACCGGCUAACUACGUGCCAGCAGCCGCGGUAAUACGUAGGGUGCGAGCGUUAAUCGGAAUUACUGGGCGUAAAGCGUGCGCAGGCGGUUAUAUAAGACAGAUGUGAAAUCCCCGGGCUCAACCUGGGACCUGCAUUUGUGGCUGUAUAGCUAGAGUACGGUAGAGGGGGAUGGAAUUCCGCGUGUAGCAGUGAAAUGCGUAGAUAUGCGGAGGAACACCGAUGGCGAAGGCAAUCCCCUGGACCUGUACUGACGCUCAUGCACGAAAGCGUGGGGAGCAAACA
rnacentral:rRNA from 1 species